UCUAUUUUGUAGUUUUAAAAUAUUUUAAAUUUUAUUAUAGAUAUAUUAUUUUAUGAUUAUCUAUUUUGUAGUUUUAAACUAAUAUAAAUUCAAUAUUACAAUUAAUUUUAAAAUUUACAAUAAUCUAUACUAUUAUUUGCGAAGUGAUGUUUCGCAAUUGAGCUAUUACGUUAAAAGUUAGAACGGUUAAAGUCUAUGUUACUCUUA
rnacentral:lncRNA from 1 species